AAAAGAUGGCUGGAUUCGGCGAUUAUCCUGCGGAAUAUAAUCCGAAAGUUCACGGACCCUACGAUCCUGCUCGCUACUACGGCAAACCCGAUACCCCUCUCGGCCAGGUGAAGCU
rfam:Anopheles dirus strain WRAIR2 unplaced genomic scaffold supercont1.68, whole genome shotgun sequence.